UAUAUAUCAGCUGCCAAGGUGCACAGUGUCACAGCUGUGAAUUUGUGCGUGUGCGUGUGUGUGUGUGUGUGUGGUCUCUCCACAGGCUCGGAUGGUGUAAUCUCACAGAGGGCUGCUGUGAUGUUCUGGCCUCAGUCCUGCGUUCUCCUCACUCAGAGCUGAGAGAUCUGGAGCUCAGAGACAACGAGCUGCAGGAUUCAGGAGUGACGGCACUCUCUGCUGGACUGGAGGACCCACACUGUAAACUGCAGAGACUGGGGCUGUUAGGCUGUAGAGUCACACAGAGAGGCUGUGAUUCUCUGGCUCCAGCUCUGUGUUCAAACCCCUCACACCUGAGAGAGCUGGACCUGAGAUACAAUCACCCAGGAGACUCAGGAGUGAGAGCUCUGUCUGCUGCUAAACUGGACACACUCACACUGCUUGUGGACCAUGGAGGAGAGAACAGGACCAAACCAGGACCCAGGAAAUUUUGCUUCUACCUGACUGCUUCCUGCAUGUUAGCUGAGACAAUCCUCUUGUUAGAGCAGAUACCUACCUCCCCCACUAUCAGAGCAAAUCACCAAAAACUCUGUGUAGAGUCAGGUAAAUUAAUCAGGUCAUCAUCAGGAUCUUGGAAAAGAAUGAGGGCUUCAGCUGCUAUCGGGCAGAAUUUGCCAUGGCCAGUGGAUUUCACCAUUACAGGCUGAAUAAAUGUGAUAGUCUUGAUUGUAUUUAUUUUGGAUGUUUGAUUAAAGAAAAAUC